GACGAACGCUGGCGGCGUGCUUAACACAUGCAAGUCGAACGGAAAGGCCUGCUUUCCCUUGUGGAUUGCGGGUACUCGAGUGGCGAACGGGUGAGUAACACGUGAGUGAUCUGCCCCCAACUUGGGUAUAAGCCUGGGAAACUGGGUCUAAUUCCCGAUAGGACUGCAGGGUGGUGCCUGUGGUGGAAAACGAUUUUCUAGUGGUUGGGGAUGAGCUCGCGGCCUAUCAGCUUGUUGGUGGGGUAAUGGCCUACCAAGGCGGCGACGGUAGCCGGCCUGAGAGGGUGGACGGGCACAUUGGGACUGAGAUACGGCCCAGACUCCUACGGGAGGCAGCAGUGGGGAAUAUUGCACAAUGGGCGGAAGCCUGAUGCAGCGACGCCGCGUGGGGGAUGACGGCCUUCGGGUUGUAAACUCCUUUCGACCGCGAGGAAGCCACCUGGUUGGAAGGGUGGUGACGGUAGUGGUAGAAGAAGCACCGGCUAACUACGUG
rnacentral:rRNA from 1 species